GGGAGUUUCUGUCGCUGCUUCUCUAUGGAGAGGGCGGUGUGCGGGUUGAAGACGAUGGGGGAGCCGGUGGUUUCUGUGUUGAGCUCCCGCUCCUCGGAGAUGCCCGGUGCCUCGGACCCUGGAGCAAGGCAGAGGGUCAAGAGCUACGCUCGCCUUGGACUGAGCUGCAUGCAGACUGUCACGCAGGUGGCGCGAUCGCGCGCGGAGCCGAACCGGAACCGAGGCACCCACGGUCGCGGCUGUGCGUUAACACGCGUAAAGGCGCAGAACCCGCACCGAAUGUCCAAAGUAGUCUGUUUUUUCCUACUUACCCGGCUUCCAAAAUUUCAUCGUGGAGAGGGGAGCCGCCAUCUUGGCCACUACGUCACAUAUUUUUUUUCAAAGUCGUUCGAUGACGUCACGGCUGGGACUUUGCACUGAGAUUUUAUGAAUGAUGUCAGUAAGAACUAUUGGACUAUUGGAACAGGAAGAUUAGAUUUUAUUAUUAUUAUUAUUAAAGUAUCUACUUACAUUAUACAGGCGGUAAAUGUCAAAUGAUCAGCCAAAGUAAUUAAAACUGAUAGUAGAAACUUUAGGAAAAAUCAGUAUCACAAUUCACUUAAAUGAUCUUUUUUGUAUCAGAAAUUAAACCCUCAUCUCCAAAACUUACAAUUAUUUUCCGUUGUCAAAUAGUCCAUGAUAAAAACAUUAACAAAUAAUGAAAAGAUUAAUGAAAAACUGCAUCUUAUAUCAGUAGAAUAAAUGAAAUGAAUUAAAGAACAUUAUGUGAUUCAGUGGCACCAGUACCAGCAUGAAGGACAACGCAAAGAAAUCUGCAGAAAUUCAGUUCCAGAAUGAGUCAUUAGACAAACAAUGCAUUAAUACCUUCUACAUAUCAGUAAAAACAGACACCAUCUCUGAAAAUGGAGGCCAAAUAAAGCCCAUGUUUAAUGAUUCUCAAAAGUUUUGAUCAGAAAAUACAAUCCUUUCGAACACCAGCUGCUUUAUCUAAUAUAACAGUAUCCUUACAAUAACUUUGCAUGAACAAAUUUUAAAAGUUUUCACUAUAAAAUACUGAGAAAUGUUACAUCAAGAGACAUAACACAAGUACAAAUAAAUCUGUGUAAUACAAUGUGGAUGUGACAAAUAGGACAUUGCAAACAAGAUUAAAUUAAUUGAAAAACAACAGGUAAGACAUGGAUUUGGAAGCUGUAUGUGAGAAAACAUGUUUAAAUUAAAUUACAUCUACCCUCCUAACUAAUGCCAUUAGUAAAUGACAUCUACACAAACACAUAACUCAUGGCAGUGCACAGACCAGGGUUGGCUUCAAACUGUGAACAUUUGCAUUAGCAUGCAAGCUUCGCAAUCUGUUUGAACAGGUGGAUGGUUUAGAUCCAGACUGAAGCGUGAGUGCUUCAGUACAAUGUGCUGUUACUGGCAUUCAGACAGGACAUUAGCUGAUAUGUGUAUCUUACAACUAGGAUUUAACUGUGAUGGUAAAAUUAGCACAACUGAGAUUUCAGAUUUUCUCCCACAAAUAAUGUAGGUGGUAAACGUAAUGGUUACCUACAAUGAACACUCCUCAAAUGACACGUGUAACUUUAUAUAAUGGUAAUUUUUUAAAUAUUUUUAUCAGGGACCGAUGAAAUGCAAGAAGGAUGAUUUAAGGUGGAACAUCCUGGGUUGUUGAGUAGAUGUGAUGAGGCCUUUUGUUAACUCCGGGUAAUACACUGACUGACUGACGUCUAUUGACUUGUUUUAUUGCCCCAUUCCUGUAAUUUAGUGAGCAGAAAGCAUGCUGUAAUGUGUGAUGAGCUCACACGAGUUAUUGUUCCUGUCAUUCUUAAGCGUAAAUAAGACGCUGCUGCACUGAUCAACAAAUAACUAACUUAUUCUGUUAAUAUCAACAUCCUGCUCAAACACUAACUGAACUGCAGCUAUUCUAAUCUGACCUAUUGGCUUCUUGUAUCAUUAGUGUUUUGUAAAACAUGAUGAAAAAAAAUGGAGAAAGGAAAUAUUGUACAGCAUUGGAGAGUGCAUUAAAAUGGAACCCUUAAAUUAAAGUACAUGGUGGUCUUGCAGUAUCUUAACAUUCGAACUACGGUUCCCAUGAUGCACUGCACACAGAAGUCAUACUGUAUGUAGGAGAGUUUACCCCCCUUAAGCCAUGGAGUUCCUGUGUCUUUACUUCAACAGAAAUGUUCAUAUUUGGUGUCCUGUCGACUUCCCUCAGUCAAAAUGCAGAGCUGUGUAAAAGAUUAUCCACACCACC